rnacentral:lncRNA from 1 species
CAGAUUCUGAGCAACAAGUUCCUCAUUGUACGAACGAGGGAACUGCAGUGGAAGCUGGAGGACUGCCGGAGGUUUUACCGAGAGCAUGAAGUGGGCCAAUCCGAGCCUAUAUCCUUGCCCACAAAGAUGCCAUCCAACUUUGGAGGACACUGAUGGGACCCACCAGAGUAUUUCGAGCACGCUAUAUAGCCCCAGAUUCAAUUCGUGGAAGUUUGGGCCUCACUGACACCCGAAAUACUACCCAUGGCUCAGACUCCGUGGUUUCCGCCAGCAGAGAGAUUGCAGCCUUCUUCCCUGACUUCAGUGAACAGCGCUGGUAUGAGGAGGAGGAACCCCAGCUGCGGUGUGGUCCUGUGCACUACAGUCCAGAGGAAGGUAUCCACUGUGCAGCUGAAACAGGAGGCCACAAACAACCUAACAAAACCUAGGAGACCCAGCCAAGUAAAGUCCCGAGGACUGGUCGCAGUGUUCAGCCCUUCCUCCUAGGGUCAGGGAAGGUGGUCUGA